rnacentral:rRNA from 1 species
AUUGCCCCAGUAACGGCGAGUGAAGCGGCAACAGCUCAAAUUUGAAAUCUGGCCCCAGGCCCGAGUUGUAAUUUGCAGAGGAUGCUUUUGGCGCGGUGCCUUCCGAGUGCCCUGGAACGGGACGCCACAGAGGGUGAGAGCCCCAUCUGGUUGGACACCAAGCCUAUGUAAAGCUCCUUCGACGAGUCGAGUAGUUUGGGAAUGCUGCUCUAAAUGGGAGGUAUAUGUCUUCUAAAGCUAAAUACCGGCCAGAGACCGAUAGCGCACAAGUAGAGUGAUCGAAAGAUGAAAAGCACUUUGAAAAGAGGGUUAAAUAGUACGUGAAAUUGUUGAAAGGGAAGCGCUUAUGACCAGACUUGGGCCCGGUGAAUCAUCCAGCGUUCUCGCUGGUGCACUUUGCCGGGCACAGGCCAGCAUCAGUUCGCCGCGGGGGAUAAAGGCUUCGGGAAUGUGGCUCCCUCGGGAGUGUUAUAGCCCGUUGCACAAUACCCUGGGGCGGACUGAGGUUCGCGCAUCUGCUAGGAUGCUGGCGUAAUGGUCAUCAGCGACCCGUCUUGAAACACGGACCAAGGAGUCGUCUUCGUAUGCGAGUGUUCGGGUGUAAAACCCCUACGCGUAAUGAAAGUGAACGCAGGUGAGAGCUUCGGCGCAUCAUCGACCGAUCCUGAUGUUCUCGGAUGGAUUUGAGUAAGAGCAUACGGGGCCGGACCCGAAAGAAGGUGAACUAUGCCUGUAUAGGGUGAAGCCAGAGGAAACUCUGGUGGAGGCUCGCAGCGGUUCUGACGUGCAAAUCGAUCGUCAAAUAUGGGCAUGGGGGCGAAAGACUAAUCGA